rnacentral:lncRNA from 1 species
GUCAGCUGUCUUGGCUGUGUCUACUCCCAGCUCCUUCUGCACACCCAGACUCCUUGCUAGUGGGGUGGUGUGAGGAGAGACUAUCUGAACCAAAACCAGCAUAAGAAACAAUUUCUAAAGUCAAGUUACACCAUUCAUGGUGCUGGAUAUAAAUGUAAGAGUGGACAAAUCUGCAGUUGGUAGAAGCAGUGAACUGUAUGCCCUCUACAGUUGGUAGAAGCAGUGAACUAUAUGCCCUCUAUGAUUUACAGGAGAGUUUUUUGGAUUCUACACGUGAACAUGAUGAUUUACAGGAGAGUUUUUUGGAUUCUACAUGUGAAGAUAUAUUCCUGCAGAUACCUGUAGUGAUGUGCCAUAUUUUUAUUUCCUGUAUGAAGCUUUGUGGAAGUGGGGCUGUUGAAAGAAGUAGGAGUGGCUGCAGAAGCAAAGUGCAGCUGGGAGGUCACACGGAUACUUUUGUGAAGGACAUCUAGCCAGCUCUGCUCACCUUGUGAAGCAUUGUCCCAGUGCAGAUUAGUUGCUCUCCCUUGGCAUCUAACAGGUGAAUUGAAACUAUUCAUAGACACAGCCCAGACAGUUCCUGUUGCAGUUUCUGUUCUUUGACUCUUUUGCGUUUGCCAGAUGAACAAUUUGCGCUGUGGAGGGUGCAGAGCCAGAUUCAGUGAAAAAGGCAUUUGCUGUGAUGACCUGUGUGAGAAUUAAUGUAAUCAGCAGAGUAUGGGACUUGCUACCAAGGAGGUGACAGCAUCAGUGCCUAGCAUGACGUCACUGACAACUUGGGGGUAAGUUAUUAAUUCCUUGUUUUGGAACAAAUACACACAGUAGGCAGCUGCAGGUAGCAUGCUUAUGGAGAUACCUUUUUCUUGUGAAAAUGUCCAGAGGAUUGACAGCAACAGCUCAGCAACAUGCUCCAGGACACACAGCAAUCACAAGCUCCAGAAUGAGCCAUUGAUGCAACUUUUCUGAAUGUGUUCCACAUGAAAAACAAUGCCCAAAGAGAGUUGAGUCCCAGUCCAAGCUAAUUCAGCCAACACAGUGAUUAGGUCUCCCAGAAUUUGAG